AAAUUUUGACACGAACCUACUCAUAUAAUCCGAAGGAUGUGGCUUUGGAGUCUCUACCGGGUGGCCGUAAACCACCUGACUAUGAGUAAGGCUUAAUAUGCU
rnacentral:ncRNA from 1 species